UGAUAAUCUCAUGUCACAAUUUUUCUGUAAGAUUGGUAUUUCAGAUCCCUCCUGGGUAGAGGCCCUAUCCUGAGCACUGGUGUUAAGAAGCGACCCUGGCCUCAAGAGCACAGGUGGAGGCUCACUGGGGCUUCAUAAACAUCUGAUGAAUUAACAACGGAUACGGACUUUCCCAGGGUUGAAUGUGUUGGAGAAGGAGGGCACAAGAGAGAGUUGGUCUCCGGAAGCCAGGGCGCGGAGAGUGGGGAGGAAACGGUGGGAGUCCCCGUCGGGAAGGGGCCCCCGGGCCCCGCGAGACAAAGGGCGGUGUCCUAUAA
rnacentral:lncRNA from 1 species